ACCCCACUGCUAUCGGGAUAGGACUAAGACAUGCUAGUCGUGCGCUUCCUAGCCAAUUUGGGAGCGCGGCACACAGCUCAGUAACACGUGGCUAACCUGCCCUUGGGACCAGAAUACCCCCGGGAAACUGGGGCUAAUUCUCGAUAGGUGAAGAACUCUGGAAUGAGUCUUCGCUUAAAAGAGGCUGGGGUUAUGCUCUCCAGUUUCGCCCAAGGAUGGGGCCGCGACCGAUCAGGUUGUUGGUGAGGUAAUGGCUCACCAAGCCUUUUACCGGUGCGGGCCGUGGGAGCGGGAGCCCGGAGAUGGGCACUGAGACAAGGGCCCAGGCCCUACGGGGCGCAGCAGUCGCGAAAACUUUGCAAUAAGCGAAAGCUUGACAGGGCUAUCCCGAGUGCCAUCCGCUGAGGAAGGCUUUUACCCAGUCUAGAACGCUGGGGGAAUAAGGAGAGGGCAAGUCUGGUGUCAGCCGCCGCGGUAAUACCAGCUCUCCGAGUGGUGUGGAUGUUUAUUGGGCCUAAAGCAUCCGUAGCUGGCUAGGUUAGUCCCCUGUUAAAUCCACCGAAUUAAUCGUUGGAUUGCGGGGGAUACUGCUUGGCUAGGGGACGAGAGAGGCAGACGGUAUUUCCGGGGUAGGGGUGAAAUCCUAUAAUCCCGGGAAGACCACCAGUGGCGAAGGCUGUCUGCUAGAACGCGCCCGACGGUGAGGGAUGAAAGCUGGGGGAGCGAACCGGAUUAGAUACCCGGGUAGUCCCAGCUGUAAACGAUGCAGACUAGGUGUUUGAACGGCCACGUGCCGUUCUAGUGCCGCAGGGAAGCUGUUAAGUCUGCCGCCUGGGGAGUACGAUCGCAAGAUUGAAACUUAAAGGAAU
rnacentral:rRNA from 1 species